rnacentral:rRNA from 1 species
UACGUAGGGUGCAAGCGUUGUCCGGAAUUAUUGGGCGUAAAGAGCUCGUAGGCGGUCUGUCGCGUCUGCUGUGAAAACUCAGGGCUUAACCCUGAGCUUGCAGUGGGUACGGGCAGACUAGAGUGCGGUAGGGGAGACUGGAAUUCCGUGGUGUAGCGGUGAAAUGCGCAGAUAUCAGGAGGAACACCGGUGGCGAAGGCGGGUCUCUGGGCCGUAAACUGGACGCUGGAGGAGCGAAAGCAUGGGGAGCGAACAGGAUUAGACUACCG